GCUUACGGCCAAACCACUCUGACAAUGCCUGAUCCCGUCUGAUCUCAGAAGCUAAACAGAGUUGGGCCUGGUUAGUACUUGAGUGGGAGACUGCCUAGGAAUACCAGGUACUGUAAGCA